rnacentral:rRNA from 1 species
CCGGAAAGGAAUCGUUGGUUAUAAUACAGCCGGGGGAAGACAGUACGCGGAAGAAUAAGCACCGGCUAGAGUACGUGCCAGCAGCCGCGGUAAUACGUAGGGUGCGAGCGUUAAUCGGAAUUACUGGGCGUAAAGCGUGCGCAGGCGGUUUGCUAAGACCGAUGUGAAAUCCCCGGGCUCAACCUGGGAACUGCAAUGGUGACUGGCAGGUUAGAGUAUGGCAGAGGGGGGUAGAAUUCCACGUGUAGCAGUGAAAUGCGUAGAGAUGUGGAGGAAUACCGAUGGCGAAGGCAGCCCCCUGGGCCAAUAGUGACGCUCAUGCACGAAAGCGUGGGGAGCAAACAGGAUUAGAUACCCUGGU